ACNNACNGUUGGGGAACCNCGGCACNNCNCUUUUUUUGGCAAGAAAACCACGAUGAAGCCCUUCGGGGUGGAUUAGUGGCGAUCGGGUGAGUAACACGUGGGCAAUCUGCCCUUCACUCUGGGACAAGCCCUGGAAACGGGGUCUAAUACCGGAUACGACACACGACCGCAUGGUCUGUGUGUGGAAAGCUCCGGCGGUGAAGGAUGAGCCCGCGGCCUAUCAGCUUGUUGGUGGGGUGAUGGCCUACCAAGGCGACGACGGGUAGCCGGCCUGAGAGGGCGACCGGCCACACUGGGACUGAGACACGGCCCAGACUCCUACGGGAGGCAGCAGUGGGGAAUAUUGCACAAUGGGCGAAAGCCUGAUGCAGCGACGCCGCGUGAGGGAUGACGGCCUUCGGGUUGUAAACCUCUUUCAGCAGGGAAGAAGCGAAAGUGACGGUACCUGCAGAAGAAGCGCCGGCUAACUACGUGCCAGCAGCCGCGGUAAUACGUAGGGCGCAAGCGUUGUCCGGAAUUAUUGGGCGUAAAGAGCUCGUAGGCGGCUUGUCACGUCGGAUGUGAAAGCCCGGGGCUUAACCCCGGGUCUGCAUUCGAUACGGGCAGGCUAGAGUUCGGUAGGGGAGAUCGGAAUUCCUGGUGUAGCGGUGAAAUGCGCAGAUAUCAGGAGGAACACCGGUGGCGAAGGCGGAUCUCUGGGCCCGAUACUGACGCUGAGGAGCNAAGCGUGGGGAGCGAACAGGAUUAGAUACCCUGGUAGUCCACGCCGUAACGUUGGAACUAGGUGUGGGCGAAUUCACGUCGNCGUGCCCAGNUACGAUNANUNCCCNCUGGGAUNCGGCNCAGGUNAACUNANGAUNACGGGGCCCNCAACACGGACNUUGGUUAUUGACCACCGAAACUNCAGGNUGCUACCGAAACUGAAANGUCCUUGGCGGUNGGGGCUGGNCUNCUNUNNANUGGUAUCCNACCACUUUUUCCAUCUGGUNGACAGAAGGGAUGGAGGGNNANUCNUUGUCCNUAGCCAANUCNGGANACCUUUGUCC
rnacentral:rRNA from 1 species